CUGAAGCGUAGAACGUCAGCACGCUGAGUUGGCGCGGAAGACGGGAGGAGAAGGCGGGGGCGCCGAUUCUACUGUAGGGGGAGAGCUGAGGGAGUGGACCCCGCCUCGGGGAAUCGGCGCCCAGACAAAAUGCCAUCAGGAAUUCUGCAAAGUCAUCAGGAAUAACUAAUGUUAUUCUUUCACUUGUUUUCACUGGGUACCUCAAGGUUGUGCUUAGUUAAAAAAUUGUUGGUGAUAGAAACAAGGUACUGAAAAAACAUCUUUGGAUAUGGCCACUGAGUGAAUUCCUUUUGUUACAGGGAUUUUGGCUUCCUUUUUCAAGGAACACCUACUCUUCAAGAUGAAUGUAAAUUGUGAGCCUGCCCUGUGAAGAUCUUUGCUCUAAGACAGAGAAGACCAAAUGAUCACUCUUUAUUGAAAUGGUAGAAUUAUUGAUAAAAUGAUUAAAUUACCAGAAAUUAUGUCUCUCAAACUUUUUUAAGUGCCACACUUGCUCUGGGAGACUCAACUUCUCUGUAAAAGUAGAAGCUGGUAUGAAAAUCUUGAGAGUCCUGUAAAGGCUACACAAGAGAAAUACUUGGUGUGUGUAUUAUGUAUAAUAUAUAAAAUCUUAAAAAUUUUUAUUUACAGCUUUUUAUAUCACUUUUAUUUCUAAAUGUAUUCCUUUCCUAUACUCUGCCCAACAAGUUCUCACUUUUUAAAACAUUUAUAAAAGAGUAAAAAAUAAAAGUUUAGUAAAACCAAAUAGCAUAACUACUAUGUCUGACAUUAUGUGUAUACACACACACACACACACACACAUGUGUAUGUGAUAUUUAUACUGUACAGCUAGGACAUAAUGUAAGUUCAAAUAAUGCAAAGCACUAUUUAGUGCAAAUUAUAAAGUGGUAUGUGGUCUUGUUUAACGUAAGCCAAAAUUGUGACAAGUAUGAACUAUUUGAGGAUUUUAAUAAGCUGCCCCAUCGACAGUCUGAUACUUGCCUAUUAUUACAUGCAAAUAUGUAUGAUGCUGCAUACCAAAUUACCAACUGUUGUGUUAAUUUUUUUCAAAGAGCCCUUAAUAAAAUAGACAAAAAGAAGAACACUUUAGGUGGAAACACUACCAAUGGCUCCCUCUCCUGAGACUUUUUAUUACAUUAAAACAAAAAUUUUAUGUAACUGAACAUUAUAAAUGUGGUCAUAAUAACUAUAAAAUAGAUUGAGAUGUCAAUAUACCUUGUAAAUAGGAAAUAAUAUGGUAUGGAAUAUUACUUUUAAAAAAACCCACUGGUGAAAUAAAAGAAAAAGAUAAAAUUGCAUGUAUUUUUUGUGGUUUGCCAACAACAAAAACAAGGAAAUAAAAAUAUUGUGUUGAUAGAAAUGCAAGUAUCUUUUAGCUGUAUGGGAUUAAGAUUGCAGUUUAAAAAAAGGCAGCCCAAUUAGCAAAACAAUCAGUCAGAUAAAUGUUUUAAGUUUAUUUAUGGCAAUGUGAAAUGAAAAUUAAAUGGAUAGAGAAGAAAUUUUUGGUGCAAGUAUUAAUUGGUAAUAAAAACUAAAAUCAAUAACAUAAUGUAAGAAUUAGCUGAGGCAACUAGUGAAGAUGAGACUGUAUUGGUUAAGUAUCCUAAUGUUUUGAAAAUUAUCAAAGAAAGUGAAUACAUUGGUCAACAUUUUUUAAAAAGUUAAAUGAAACAGGCUUAUUCUGGAAAACAGUAUUUUCCAGAACUUACUUUUCUAAGAAAG